AUGAACGCUGGCGGCGUGGAUAAGGCAUGCAAGUCAAGGGGGCCCGCAAGGGCAACCGGCAGACGAGGUAGUAAUAAGUAGGUACGAACCAAAAAGUCUCGAAUAGCCCAUCGAAAGGUGGGGUAAUACGAGAUAGUCCCUCCGGGGUAAAGAUUUAUCGCUUUUUGAUCGGCCUGCUCGGUAUCAGGUAGUUGGUAGGGUAACGGCCUACCAAGCCAAUGACGCCUAGGGGAGCUGAGAGGCUGACCCCCACCGAUGGGACUGAGACACGGCCCAUACACCUACGGGUGGCUGCAGUCGAGAAUCUUCCGCAAUGGACGAAAGUCUGACGGAGCGACGCCGCGUGCAGGAUGAAGUUCUUCGGGAUGUAAACUGCUUUUAUAGGGGAGGAAGUUAUUGACGUUACCCUACGAAUAAGAGGUUGCUAAACUCGU
rnacentral:rRNA from 1 species